AGAAUGAACGCUGGCGGCGUGGAUAGGCAUGCAGUCGAGCGAGACUCUCCCUUCGGGGAAAUGGAGGAGUGGCGCAUGGGAGAGUAACGCGUGGAUAUCUGUCCCGAAGUACCGGGAUAGCCCAUCGAAAUGUGGGGUAAUACCGGAUAACAUCUCCGAGAUCGGAGUGUGUGAUUCCGCCUCGGGAUGGGAUACCGCGUCCUAUUAGCUAGUUGGUGGGGUAACUGGCCUACCAAGGCGCACGAAUCGCUAGUGAGGCGUUAGCGCGGUGGCCCGCCUCACUGAGACUGAGACACUGUCCAGACACCUACAGGUGGACUCGGCAGCCGAGAAUCUUCGGCAAUGUGCGCAAACCUGACCGAGCGACUGCCGCGUGCGAAGACUGAACGCCUUGCGGGUAAGUACCUCGCUAUCCGAGGGCGAGGAAAGGUCCGAAAGCAUCGGAAUUUGACCUAUCCUCCGACGAAGUGCGGUGUACGUUCUGUCCAUAAGCCGCUGGUAUGAUAUCCGCAGGAACGUAAUUCGGAAUUACUGGUGUUACAGGGUGCGUAGGCGGACGUUCGGGUCGGGUGUGAAAGGCAUCAACUGAGCUGAGGAAUUGCGCCCGAUAGUGUACGGGUUGAGGGAGACAGAUGUGAGCUGAACUUGCAGUGUGGCUGGUGAAAUGCGUUGGUAUCGGUAUGAAGACCAAUAGCGAAAUUCGUCUCAGUGGGUCUCUUCUGACUCUGUGUCACGAAAGCUAGGGUAGCGAAGAGGAUUAGAUACCCUAGUAGUCUUAUCUUUCCAGUUGAGCAGUAGAUUUGAGGUUCCUCCCUAGCAUCCCGGUCGUAGCGAAAGUGUCAAGUGCUCCACAUGGCGUGUAUGGUCGCAAGGUUGGAAUUCAAAGGAUAGACGGGGCUCACACAACCGCUAGGAGUAUGAUGGCGACUAAUUCGAGGCUACGCGAAGAACCAGUAAUCCUUGGAUUGGACAUGACAUGGGAAUUAACACCCUGGAAAGCAAGAGGUACCAUCGCUCCUCGGGUGGAACAAGCACAAGGUGCUGCAUGGCUGUCGUCAGCUCGUGUCGUGAGAUGUCGGUUUAAGUCCCUCAACGAGCGCAACCCAUGUCGUUAGUUGCCAGCGGGUCAUGCCGGGGACUCUAACGAGACUGCCUGCGUGUUAAACCGGAGGCAGGUGGGGAUGACGUCAAGUCCUCAUGGCCUUUAUGUCCAGGGCUGCACACGUCCUACAAUGGCGUGCACAAAGGGUAGCGAACUCGCGAGAGCAAG
rnacentral:rRNA from 1 species